CAAGGAUUACAGAAAGCAAACAACAUGAAAUUUUUCAAAAAUUUAGAGUAGAAUUACCUGUGUGGUGACUAUGAUGAGCCAACUAGCCAUAACCGAGAUCUUUCUAUGGUAAAAGGCCUUGAUGAUAUUAACAAUCCCCACAGCGUAGGCAGAUCCACUGCCAAACGCAGAUUGUAAUGAGAACAUGCUCUUUCAUAUUGAAACGGCCAGGAUUCAACGAGAUGUGACCCAAAAGAGGCACUUUGUAUUUUGUAGAGGGCAGAACUGCAGCCAUGAAGCGCCCAAUUGGAAGAGCUGCUACCUGAACUGAUAUCUGUGUGAUAACCAGAGGUUCCUUUCUGUAGCCAAAGAAUUGAUUGAGAAAAGAGAGUGUUAUGCAGGAGAUUCUCAUUUGGAAUGUUCUUAAGCUAUGUGCCUUUGCCCUGUUCAAUGAUGAAUUCUCAUUGGUGGAAGGAUCAAAGGUUUUUACAGGAUUCUUUUCUCUCACAGGCCGAUCCAGCGGAGUAGUAGGCGUUGAAAGUAAAUCCUCGGUUUUCUCUUCUCUGAAUUCUUCAGCCAUAUCGAGAUUCGAACCUGUGACUAAGGUUCAAACCCUGGAAUUCAAAAUUUUUUUUCACAUUCUGGCUGGUAAAAGAUGAAGAGGCAAAACGGAGGAUCAGAAAAUAGCAGCCAAAUGAGAUCAAAUUCCCUCUUCCAGCCAUUCAUGGCACUGACAUUGGAUUCAUGGCUGGUCCCAUUUCUCAUGUUGGUACUAGCACUUCUCACAGGCCAUUGACAACAGAGGAUUACUGAGUUGCAUCAUCAACUUAGGAUAUUGCAGGUACAAGUAUCGAGAAGGUACGAGGUAUCGUCUCCACCUGGCUUUACAGGUCUGAGCAUGCCUUAUAUUUUUCGAUGGAAGUGGAGGAGAUAGUAGUUGACCCUAUUUUAUUCAGUUACACUCGUGUGAGUGUCGUCAGUUGGUCAU